AUCCGUAACUUCGGGAAAAG
rnacentral:snRNA from 1 species